UUUCCUAGAGGAAUUACACCUAGCCAUCUUCUCUUCUUCACGGACUCCUCUCUCUGUGGAUCAUUGGCAUCACCAACGCUGAAGAGGAACAUCGAUUGUGUCUACUUCAACGCCACUCGCCCGUCCUGCAGAAAGAAAAGGUUGUUGGGUACUCCAAAUGAAACAGUGUGGCCAGGUGUAAGCAAACUCAUGAACUGGCAUGAGUACCCCCAAUGGAGACCUCAGAGUUUGUCCAAAGCUGUUCCGAAUUUGGAUAUUGAUGGGUUGUAUCUGUUGUUGGAAAUGUUGCAAUAUGAGCUUGGAAAACACAUUUCAGCAAAGAAGGCUAUGGAACACCCUUACUUUGAUGAUUUGAACAAAGCUGGUCUCUGAAAAGAAAGAUGAAGAAGCAUAUGACAGAAUCACUACAUGUGGAACAUGGAUGAUUCUCGAAUUGCUAGCUAACAGAUGUUUUGUAGUGAACUUUCUUUGCUUUCCUCAAGCAUUUGCAGUUGUGUUAAAUCUAUCUUAGGCUUGAUCUGUAAAAGCGUAUUGCUACUUUGCAUUUAAUUCAAAACCUAAUUACAACA